rnacentral:rRNA from 1 species
UGCCCUACGGGAGGCAGCAGUAGGGAAUCUUCCACAAUGGACGAAAGUCUGAUGGAGCAACGCCGCGUGAGUGAAGAAGGGUUUCGGCUCGGAAAGCUCUGUUGGUAGUGAAGAAAGAUAGAGGGAGUAACUGGCCUUUAUUUGACGGUAAUUACUUAGAAAGUCACGGCUAACUACGUGCCAGCAGCCGCGGUAAUACGUAGGUGGCAAGCGUUGGCCGGAUUUAUUUGGCG